UACGUAGGGUGCAAGCGUUGUCCGGAUUUAUUGGGCGUAAAGAGCGUGUAGGCGGCCAGAUAGGUCUGUUGUGAAAACUCGAGGCUCAACCUCGAGAUUUCGAUGGAAACCGUCUGGCUAGAGUCCGGAAGAGGAGUGUGGAAUUCCUGGUGUAGCGGUGAAAUGCGCAGAUAUCAGGAAGAACACCUAUGGCGAAGGCAGCACUCUGGGACGGUCCUGACGCUGAGACGCGAAAGCGUGGGGAGCGAACAGG
rnacentral:rRNA from 1 species